rnacentral:tRNA from 1 species
GGGAGUGUGGCUCCAAUGGAAGAGCGCCUGCCUAGCAAGCAGAAGGUGUUUGAGUUCGAGCCCCAGCACUGCCA